GAGAGAAGGGAAGCCGGAGUGGGCGGGUUGACAGCGGAGGGGUGAGAGAUGGAUCUCUUGAGGGAAGAGGGAAGCAAGAGGAAAGAGUCGUUGGUGCCUUGUGGGUCCGUCCGGUAUUGUUGAGUCAGGAAGGAAUCUAAGCCCAAGAUUCCGGCGGAAGCAGCUAUGGUGCUGAGGUAUAUGAGGAGAAGAAGGAAGAGAACGGUGGCUGUGGUGGAGCGACGCAUCUCCAGGAUGUUGAAAGGGGUUAGGGUUUGGGAAUUUGGGAGGAGCUGCGAUCACUCAGUCGACGGAGUAGGAGCAAGGAAGGUGAGAGUUGAAACACUGAAGUCGGUCGAAAGGCGGACAGAGGGACGACUUUCAACUUUCUUCCACUCGCCAACUUGGGCGCUCGCUCUACCAUAAGUUUUUACUCUUCCAUUUCAUUUUUUUUUUUUUUUUUUGAAAGUUCUUUUUUCCCUGGGAAACUGUUGUACGAGUACUUUUUUCCCUUCAUUUACCAGUUGAUCUUAAAUCUUUUUAAUUCCUGCUACA